CAUUGGCCCCAGCUUUUCAUGCACUGUUCUGGCCAAACUGCAAGUUUUUAAAAAUCCUUUAGAUCUGUUUUCUGCUCCUAAUUGUCACAGUAAACCUUACUAAAAGCUGCCAGCAAUAUCCAUACCACUGACCAAAGGCUGUGCCGCCCUGAAAUAUCCCCCACCAGAUUUAUUAGUCCACUACCUUUAAAUUCAGUCCCACAGUCUCAGGACAUGGGUGAAAUAUAACCAAGUUCUUUACCAGAAUAUAACAUGAGUUCAAUUCCUGGUAGCAACCAUUUCCCUUUGAAACCUCAUGAGCACAGUCCACAUUCCUAUGAGUAUCCUGGUUCUCGAGCUCCCACCAGAAUCAUCUAUUAUACUCUGCUUACAAUAUUCUAAAGCUUUUCCCAGUCUGUGUCUCUAACCUUUUCAGAAUUCUUCCUGCAAACCAGUUCCAAAAGUUCCUGGACCACAUGGUCAGGUUAAUCACAGCAAUGACCCCACUCCUGGGACCAAUUUCUGCUUUAGUUAGCUUUUGCAUCACUGUGAACAAAACACCUGAAAAGAAUAACUUAGAGGAG
rnacentral:lncRNA from 1 species